rnacentral:rRNA from 1 species
UUAUAAGAGACAGCAGUCGCCACGGUAAUACAGAGGGUGCGAGCGUUAAUCGGAUUUACUGGGCGUAAAGCGUGCGUAGGCGGCUUUUUAAGUCGGAUGUGAAAUCCCUGAGCUUAACUUAGGAAUUGCAUUCGAUACUGGGAAGCUAGAGUAUGGGAGAGGAUGGUAGAAUUCCAGGUGUAGCGGUGAAAUGCGUAGAGAUCUGGAGGAAUACCGAUGGCGAAGGCAGCCAUCUGGCCUAAUACUGACGCUGAGGUACGAAAGCAUGGGGAGCAAACAGGAUUAGAUACCCGCGUAGUCCCUGUCUCUUAUAC